ACGAUGUCGAGUCCUUCUUGACGCUCGACAGGCGGCUCCCCCUACCAGGCGUCCGUCUAAGAGGAGGAGACAAAAAGAGAUGAUAUUAAUGGUCAGACUGAGAGCGUAUGCACCAAGACAAAUUCCUUGUGUGUCCAAUCAUACUUGGCCAAUAAAGAAUUCUAUUCUAUUC